ACGGUGGAGUUGAGGAAACGCAGGUGACCUCGAAAUGAAUGUUGAGGCUUUGACCUGGCGCGUUUGGAGCAAGGGAGAGGACGACAUUCGGCAGCAUUUUCCUAGCUCCUGCUUUCGGGAUCCGACUUGAUGUAGGCUGAGACGGCGCUGCCUCUCGGUGUUUCCAGCCACUGUAGGAGCACGGAAUGGGAGGCAGAGGAGGGAGCGCCUGCGGCCGAGAGGAGCCACUGGGCCAGGAGGGGUUCCAGCUCCUAAAGGAUUCUGUCACCAGUCAUGCUGCUGCUACGUUGAAGUUGUCAGCUCAUCACCCUGCAACAGGGCUGUUGAAUCAAACCUCAAAAGCAGUGACCUUUGAGCGUUAUCCAUGAGUGAUCGCAAAUGGAAAGCACCCACCCGGGGCCAGAGCUCCUGCACUGGCCUCAGCAGACCAGACUAAGAAUCACAGUCACCCACACUAAAGGUCCAUGUCACCAAAUAGAUGUUUUUUGACCUUCUGAGAAGUUGAGAGAGAAGUAGUGAAACUUCCCAAACAGGACAGAUGCUGUUGACAUAACAAAUACUCUUCUGUGUUAGCCAGUAUGUUUUACCCACUAACCUCAAGUAAACUGUUGUUAACCAACUGCUUGCUAUUCUACUGUUGUUUCAGUCUGCCUUAUAAAGAAAGUAACUUUCUUUAGCA